AUUGAACGCUGGCGGCAGGCCUAACACAUGCAAGUCGAACGAGUGGCGGACGGGUGAGUAAUGUCUGGGAAACUGCCUGAUGGAGGGGGAUAACUACUGUAAACUGUCGCUAAUACCACAUACCCUCAGAUGUGCCCAGAUGGGAUUAGCUUGUUGGUGGGGUAACGGCGCCCCAAGGCGACGCGCCCUAGCUGGUCUGAGAGGAUGACCAGCCACACUGGAACUGAGACACGGUCCAGACUCCUACGGGAGGCAGCAGUGGGGAAUAUUGCACAAUGGGCGCAAGCCUGAUGCAGCCAUGCCGCGUGUAUGAAGAAGGCCGUAGGGUUGUAAAGUACUUUCAGCGGGGAGGCGUUACCCGCAGAAGAAGCACCGGCUAACUCCGUGCCAGCAGCCGCGGUAAUUC
rnacentral:rRNA from 1 species